UUACGGCUAUAUUACGUUGAAACACCAGUUCCCGUAUGGUCGCCGAAGUUAAGCAACGUUGAUACUGGUCACUACCUAGACGGUUGACCGCUUGGGAAUACCAGAUGCUGUAAG